CGUACGCAAAUAGAUGCACAGCAUUGGAAAGAAUUACUGUAGUUUACAUUUGAUAGAGGAGAAGUUAACCUCUUGCUUGCGUUCAGGACAGAACUGGGCAAUGUCCCAAACUGCGUGUUCCAGGUACCCACCCCUUUCCUUGGCCCUUCAGGCCCAAAUCCAGAUGGAAAGGAUGGAGUUCUUGAGACCAGCAGUGAGCUGCAUGAUGCUUUAAACAUUUAUCCUUUAAUUGCAAAUUGAACAGCACACUGGCAAGGGACAUAAUAAGAAUGUAUUGUAGGCCGUACUGACCCCGAGCUUUUAGGCUGCAAGCUUACACAGUUCUUAGAGAGUAUCUCCUCCCCCACUGAACAUUAUGGAUUUGGUUUGAGUAAAUCCUUAAUUUCCAUACUAUUUAUUUAUUUAUGUAUGUAUUUAUUUAAACAUUUAUUUAUUUAUUAAAACAUACUAAAGGGCUGGAGGAUGUUGCUUUGCUGUUCCUAAUACCUGAACCAAAAGAAGUGGGAGAGAAAGAUACUGACUUCUCAUUUUAUUUCAAAUACCUUUUUUUUUUGAGGGGGGGGUGUAGCUUCUGAGAAUUUAGAACACUUUCUAUUUUAACACUUCUUGGAUUCUAACUUCUGAUACCCUAAAAUCUACAACAAAUGUGGCAAGAUUCAGUUCUAGAAACAUCAUCAUCAUCAUACAACUCUUAAUUAAAGGGCCAAAAUGCAUAGCUGAAUGCCUUUAUUAUGACCAACCAAAACUCCUAACAAAGAUAAUUGCCCAACAUUGAAUGGGGGUUUUUUUAUUCCUCAUGGUCCAGUAUGGCUACCUUUGUUUCUGGUGGUGGUUUUAUUUUUAAGCUACUCAUCGCAUUGCACUUGAAGAUGCUUCCAGAUGGUUUGCUCCAAGCAGUGCCAGUCAAAGACAUGAUGCUGCUAUUAUGCCUACUCCGCUAACAUAUUUUUGUGAAAAGGAGAAAGAUGGGGAAAGUGGUGGGAGAACACUUGGGGGCUGUUAGAAGAAAGCAGUGCCGUUUGGACACCAUGUAAAAUUCUGUGAAUGCAGCAAUCUGGGACCGCACAAUAGCCUUGUCCAGAAGCAGCCUGACUCGCGGCUGCUUUCAUGUAAGGCACACACUUCAUACAGGGCAUGGUUUUGGAAGACGCCUUCUCCCAUGCAGAAAAGACUGCUUCUGGUUUGGCACCAGCCACUCACAUUCACUGGCAACAGCUUGUAUUAAAAUCACUGAACAGUUGUGAAAAUUGGCUAUUGAAUGAAUCCAGGACACAUUUAUAUUUAUAUUUUAAACCGCUUUAAUAAAUUAAUUGAACCAAUUAAAAGAGUACACUGUACAGCCUUAGUAACAGGAAGCAGACGAGCAAAGUUACAAAAAUGACCUUGGCUGCUUCCAGAUGGAGGGCUCCUACCAAUACCAAUUAAAAGACAUUGUUCAGCUAGUUUGUCUUUUUCUCCUUGACAUGUUAUUUGUGUGUGCCUUGAGAAGACAAAAGAUGGAAGAAACAGUGGGAACAAAUGGGAGGCUUACUAAUGGAAGACGACGACAUCUGUAAAAAUGGCAUGGAUGAGGCAGACUCAUCUUGAAGGACCUUAGGUUACGACCAGGAAUGAACAUUUUGAGAAGCAAAAACUGUGGCUUUUGAGGAAGGAUUUGUAACUAGCAUCAGAACUAAAGGUUGUUUGCUUUUUCUGAAGGAAUCUUCCUCCAGUCUUUACAUCAUCCUGUAAAAACAAGAGAGAUCUGAAAACCUGGUAAGUGCUUUAAUGGAUUUUCCAGAGAAAAUUAUUCACAUCUGUACAUUUAAUAUUUACUGAAUGUUACACAACUGGAGAAGGUAUGCACAAACUGUUUGCUCCACUUACAGCAAGGGCUUUCUGCAUGAGGCAUUUAUUGUGUGCUCAUGAUUCAUAGUAGUUGAAGGAGGUUUACACAACAGUGCCAUCCUCCAGGGCCCUUUCUGUGCUUCCCAAGUGUUUUUGUGGUGGGUCUGUUUUAUUUUGCGGGAUAAAAAUCUGGCAUUAUGUGAACAUGAUGGAAUGAACUAGAAAGGGAAGCUCCUGUAUUUUUGCAAUUUUGCUGUACUGCAGCACCUCCUGUACUUCUGUAAAGGAACAUAUAGAAAGGCACAGACAGGGAAAAAAAUCCUGGGAAAGAAACACUUGUAAAGGAGCCACUCUUAAUCCUGCAAAGAAUCCAGAAGCAGAAGCCUCAGUAAAAUAGUGGGCCAAAAGCCUGUGCAGGGAGGCCCAGGUCUUGCGGUGUGAACUGAAAGCUAAGUCAGGAACUUCAACCAUUCAGAUGUGCAUUUUCCCAGAGUUGAUAGCACCUAUGUUAGAGUUUUUAGGACCCUUAGCCAGGGAUAUUUGCUUCACUUACCACAUUGUAACAGAGCACCAAGGAGAGAACAUGGUAUUUUGUUGUACACCUGAGUCUUCAAGGAAGGAAGUCUUGGCACAUUACAGGUUUUUGUGCUAAAUGUUGGUGGAGGUUUUUUUAAAUGACCAAAUUAAGCUGUUUGAUAACAUGCUAUUUGUUUUCUUUACAUAGUUUGUGUUACUGCUCUUAAUGCUAUUUUGAUUUGUGAUGCUUUUGAGGUUUUUGGAUUUGAUCUAGAUUUCUGCUGGAUCAACUGUAGCAGCAGAAGUGGUCUUCCCUGCCCCCUCCAUCGCACAGUGGCCCCUCCAGUACCCGGGAAUACAGCACAGGAAAUCAGACGUGUGCGAUGUGCCUUCAAGUUGCCUCUGACUUACAGUGAACCCCCUCCAAAACGUCCUGACCUUGACAGCCCUGCUCAGCUCUUGUAAACUCAAGGCUGUGGCUUCCUUGAUGGAAUCAAGCUAUCUCAUACUAGGUCUUCCUUUAAUUCUUCUCCCUCUGACUUUUCCUAGCAUUAUUAUCUUCCUUAGUGAGUCUUCCCUUCUCAUGAUGCGUCGCAAGAACAACAGGCACAGUUUGGACAUUUUUGCUUUCAGGGCUUAAAUUCCAGCUUGAUUUGAUCCAGGACUCCCUUGCUCAUCUUUCUGUGACUCCAGGCUAUUCACAAAGCUCUCCACUAGCAUCACCCCACAAAUAGAGUGAGCUAUGGCGUGUGAGUAAAGGACCCCCAAAAUAAGGCAGAGGGACCUUUCACAAGCAUAAGGUAUGUCUAGAAUCUAACUCUUUAUAUAUGUUUUCAUUAAACUAUACCAAAGGUUGCAUAUUAUAUAAAUUACAAAAAAGAAAGAAACCUAAUGGAUGUUGAGUAAUUUGUACUGUCUAUAGCAGCUUUCCAUGAUGACAGGCAGGUCUGUUUCCUUGCUGAAGACUAAACCCAGUUUUAAUACUUAGCUCCAGUGAUUGGAUACAUGGAAGCCCCUAAAUUUGGAGUCUUAUGUGCAUCAAUAGGAUCGCACCCUUAAUUGGAUUUCAGGUGUGCCUAUUGUAAUCAAUGAGCCUAAAGUUAGUCAUGACUUAACUGCUAAUAAGUGUAAUAAAUUAUGUCACCAUGGCUUUAUUUGCCUGGGAUGAAUUGCCAUGGCAUAUCCUGGCUUCCCAUGAAUAAGCUGAAUGCAUGCAGUCCUUUCAUUCCUGCCUGGCUCUUCUCACUAAUGUAAGUAGCCAGACAAACUAGAAAUGGUUGCCCCAUGGGCUAUUUUAGGAUUUGUAAGCCACGAACAAAUUUAAGGUAUUUCCUCAAUGCCUUUCAAAGCAAGAGCCCUCCCUGGCAUGGUAUACAACAAUAAAAUACAUAAGAAAACCAACGGGAUAUUAAAAUGGUAAAAACAGCAAAAAAACACAAUAAAAUAGAAAAUAGCACACAAAACAGGAAACACCAGGAUAAAUAAAACUUGCAGUGUGCUACUGCAGCUACACCAAGUUGAAUAAAACUUAAUUAGGGGGAGACCAAAGCAAAGUAGUAAGUUUCAGGGCCUUCUUAAAAGCUUGCAAUGAUGGGGUCUGGUGGGCCCCAGGGACCAACUUAUUCCAUAUCUGGGGGGCCACAGCAGACAAGGCCCUCUCUCAUGUGGCCACCAGCCUAAUGCUGUCAUAGGUGGGCAACUGAGAAGGGCCUCUCUGGCCGAUCUUAAAGAGCACACAAGCUGGGUGAAGGUGGCCCUUCAAGGACUUUGGUCCCAAACUGACCCUUCUAGUGUUAAGGGUAAAAAUUAGACCUUUACAUUUUGCUUAGAAAUAUGCUGCCAAUCAGAGUAGCCACAGCAGUAUUACAUGAUCAGAUUAUCUCAUCGUCGGCAGCACUUGGGCAGCUGCAUUCUGUGCCAGCUGAAGUUUCUGAACCAUAUUCAAGGGCAGCCCAAUCCAGAUCACAUUACAGCCAUCAAGUCUGGACUUCACUAGUCCAUAGAUACCUGAGGCAAGGUCUGUCCUCCCCCAAUAGCGCCACAACUGGUGCUCCAACAUGAGUUAGUGAAAUGCAUUCCUGGCCACCCCAACCAUGUGGGCUUCCCCCGUUAGCACUGAGUCCAGGAGGUAUCCCAGACUAUGCACGUUUUUAGGGCAAGUGUAACCCUGUUUAGGGCAAGUGUAAACCUCCAUCCAAUCCAUAGUGUUCUGUCUUGUCUGGAUUAAGUUUCUGACUGCUUACUCUUAUCCACAUAGAGCAGUAUCAAAGCCUCCCUUGGAUUUAGAAAUGGAAAUCAGAAGUACAGCUGAUUAUGCUUCAGUGCAAACCUCCUGGUGACUCCCCUCCGUAGUUUCAUGUAGAUGUUAAAAGCACGGGGCGUAGGAUGAGACCUUGAAACACCCCGUAGACUAUAGAGUGGAACAGUAGCUUCCCCAGCACUGACUUCUGAAACGGUUCCUCUAGGAAAUACUAGUAUCAACUGAAAACUGAGCCUACUCAUCUCAAUUCAAUUCAAUUCCAUUCCAUUCCAUUCCAUUCAAUUCAAUUCAAUUCAAUUCCUUAGAAGGAUACCGUGGUCAAUUGUAUCAAAAGUUUCUGAGACAUCUAUAAGAACGAAUAGGGUUGCAAUCCCCCCAUCUAUUCUUGGGCAUAAGUCAAUCAACCAACGAUGUUACUUUUCUAUUAUUAAGUUUGCAAGUUUAUUGGAAUGGAUUUAAAUAAUGAGUAUCAAGCUACACCGCUUAGAGUUGCGAGGUCACCACAUGAUCAAGAAUGGCAAAUUUGAUACUGGCUGGUUGUUAUCUGAAGCCAGAGGGUCUAAUGUGGUUUCUCACUUCUGCUUUUUCCAAAGUUGCAGGGACCUUGCUGUCCCUCGAAGAAGUAUCUGAGGUCCAGGUAUCAAGUCCAGCUCAGAUUUCACAAGCCAGACUUAGAGAGGAACCUACAGGGCUAGGAGUAGGCUCAGUCCUCCAAGCAGUUUGUCUACAUCCUCAGGUUGCACAAGGUGAGUACAGCUAUGUACAUCUAUAACGAAAUGGUACUCCAGCCCCAUCCAUCUCAGACGUGGUCAAAACAAUGAUAUUCAAGUCAACAUGGAUACAGGCAACUUUAUCUCCAAAAGUGUCUAACCAAUUGUUCACUGCAGGCCUUUGAAGGUUCAAAUUGGUGUUCUAAAGCGUAUACCCAGGAGGCCAGUAACCACCUAAAGCAGCUGCACUGAGCAGAUGCAAUGAUGGUCAAGAAAAAAGAUUUCACUGCCAAUACUGCCAUGGAUUAAGAUCACAAAUGGAUUCUUACCUGUGCAGUCAAGUCUGUUGUGUGCCUUCUGCCACUGCUUUAAUCACUGAGAUAGUUAUUUUACUGCACUCAGCUCCUAGAAUGACUAAAGAACUGGUAUGGUUCUACACACAUCAUAUCAAUAGCCUGGUUCAUCUCAUUCCAGGCAGGGCCCAGAACCUCAGCUGCAAUCCCCAGUAUUUUAGAAAUCCAUUUGGAUUCACCAGCCUCCAGGGGCGAACAAUCCAAUUUGGUCCCACACCCCUGCCGAGGUUACUGGUACAGCCCAGAAAGUGCAUCCUGCUACAUGUUAGGCCAGAUAUAACCUGAGACAUGGAAUCUUCAGCCGUUCCUGUCAAGGAAGCCACAGCAUGAAUAUUGAAGGAAGGAGACCACAGCCCCCCAAACCAAGAGACUUGGAGCCCUCAAUACCACCCUUGAGAACACCUCAAGUCAGCUCAAACAGAAAGACUUACUGGGUAGUGGGGUACACCAUUAUAAUCCUGUCUUAGGUGCCCAACAUCAGGUACAGUCACUCAAAAUGGGCUGAGUGUUGGGGCAGGGUGUCUGAUCAGGGGGGUAGAAUUCCUGUCAUGAAAGUCUCCUCUUCCCCUUUCCACCCAUCUAGUCAAGCUUGGCUCAGCACAAGAAACCCUGGUGGACAUAUUCAGGAGAAAUUAACUCCUCCUCCAUUCAUCUAACCAAGUUUCAGGAACAAAGGCCAGGUCAGCCUGCUCUUCAGAAAGGAGGUCAAGGAUGAUACACCCUCCUCCAUGAUCCCGCCUGGCAUUCAUCAGCCACACCUUCGGGCUAGAGGGGGGUGAAGGCACGCCACCACAACUGGAGUACCUUCCAGAAGGAGCUAAAGUGCACCAUGUCAGCACCUCCCACCAACAUUACGCCUUCUGCCCCACACUGCAUCUAUACUGGUCCCAACUUCUUCCACAGUGCAAACCACAGCUGACCCACCAAAACCUACCAAAUGCCCAAACCCACCUAACUGAGCUAAUAUCAGUAUAAACCAGAAGUAUCACAUGCCAGCUAAUUCUUCUGUGUGUGCCAGAAAGCAAAAAGUCUUGCCCUUGCCCGUCCCCAAAGAGAUGACCCCCUGUGGUGUCACCCCAUGGCCAGUCCUCUAGGCCUCUUCUGUUGCUUCCAGGCCGGAGUUGCCGCCUCCUACGGCAGUGUUGACACUCUGAAGGAGGCCAGCUACUAUUCUUUCCAGCCAGAAGUGGAUGUUCUUGUUGCUGGAGUUACUGCUGCUGAGGUCCAGGCCAGAUAAGUUUGACCUUCCAGAAAGUUCCCAUGCCACCAACUGACAAAGCUUCCUGGAUAAUUAGUGAAGCCAUCCUGAGCCAAAAUUAGCCCUGCCUACAAGGUCAAGAGCCAUUAGGAGAGAAAAAAAAUCUAUGGCACAAGGCAGGUGUGUUGCUUCCCCAGGGCAGUCGUAAGCAUCCUGCGGUGGUGGGAGUUACUUCAGCUGGAAGAAUACGAGGAACAUCUAUGCAGAAUACGAGGGACAUCUAAGUGCUGUUGGUUACCAUGGGUGCUCGUCUUUUUUGCACAGGCCGUACGUGAGCCCGUCUGGUGAUGGAAGCACCAGGUGCAAAUUGGAUGGCCAGUCUGCCGCCACCAGUUCCAGCCACCUGUGUCCCUGUCUUCACCCUUCUAGCCCAACCGAGCUCACAAUGGUCAUUGAGAAUCUUGUAAGGUUUUUUACUAGAACGUGCCGUAACAUGUGUUACUAGAACUUGAGGCUUCACCCGGUGAAUCUAACUGAUGCUACAUUCAGGACACACAAAUGAAGGUACUUGUUCCCAUAAGACAUAAUUUAUACAAGUCUCUGUCACUAGGUAAGGAGAUGGUUUCUGCCUUAGAUGGCCUUAAAAGGGGAUUUCUCACAUGAAUGGGGAGGGUAUGGAAGAGCUCAUGGCCACCUCCAGGGUCAGGGGAAGACUUUAGUUAUUUAAAGAGUUUUUAUCCUGCUCCUUAGCCAAAAAGUCUCUGGGGCAGCUUUCAAACAACCAGUAAAAGAGGAAAGUCCCUGCCUGCAGGCUUAAGAAGACAUGAGUUACAAGGGGAAAAAAGGAUCAGCGAAGGAAGAAGGCAGAAUUUUAUUUUUUUAGUAGUGCUAUUGGAAUAUUCCUGCUUUCCCCUCUCUUCUUCACUACAGCAUGCUGGAAGGGCUGCUGCUGUGACCAUAAAGGGAGGAGAAGCUUGUGAGGGGAGACUGGCAAGGGAUGGCUGUUCCCCUUGGCUGGUCAGAAGCAUGUUUUAUUAUUUAAAACAUGCUUUUUAUU